GAAAUACUCCCUCCGUUCGGAAAUACUUGUCAUCAAAAUGGAUAAAAGAAAAUGUAUCUAGAUGUAUUUUAGUUUUAGAUACAUCUCUUUGUAUCCGUUUUGAUGACAAGUAUUUUUGGACGGAGGGAGUAGAAA
rfam:Triticum aestivum genome assembly, contig: Triticum_aestivum_CS42_TGACv1_scaffold_001410_1AL